GUGUUAUAUGAAGGAAGAAUAGGUUAGCAUUCCCCUUGCUAAGGAUGGAAAAGGUCCUAUUGAUCUUUACCAUAUAUAUGAUUAAGACUGCUUCAAAUAUACUCUGUGGCAUCUAACCAUGCUUGAUU
ensembl:snRNA